UCAUAAAUUUCACAUUCCAAAAACCCUACCACACCCCUCAACUCUAAACCCUAAGUCUAGAUUAGUUAAUCCUAAGGGUAUAAUUGUCUUUUACCCUUCAUUAAAAGUGAGGGUAAAAGUGGUUAGUGUAAACUUGAAAAGUGGUACUAAGAAUGUGUUAUUUGUGGCAAUUUCCCAUAUAUUAAUUGAGAAGCCACUUAAUUGACUUUUGAUUAUGUGUCUUUAAUAGGUUAAGUUUUAAAAAAUAGCUAUAAUUUGAUUGGUUGUUAACAUUUAUUAGUUAUUAUUUUAAUCAUAUCUAAAAAUAAAAGGUAACUCUAAAACUAAUUAAUACAAAUUAUCAAAUAACAUAAAUGAUAUUACAAAUAAUGAUUUAUGAUAAUUAAUUGUAGAAUUAGAGAAAUAUUAUAUAUGUUUUAUUAAUUUCUUAAUUUUUAUCAAUUAGUUAUAUAUAAUUAAAUAAAAUACUUUAGCAUUUUUAUAGAAAUAAAUUUAAUGGUUGUAUAUUAUUAUAUAAAAUAAUUAUAUUUGUAGGUAAGGAAUUAUUAUAAUUUUUAUGUUUUUAAAGCCCACACAAAACCGUUUACAAAGAUAUUUCAUAAUAGAAGCUCUCGAUCAUUGUAUUGGUCAUAUCGUAGUUACAAAAAAAAAACACUAUCUUUUUCUCUCUUUCUUGAGAGCUAGAGUAUUUUUGGUUUUUCAUGUGUUAAACUAAAAUAUAAAGUAAUGCUACAACUAAUCAUCUGAAUUAAUUAUAAUAUUUUUUUCUGUAAGAAAAAUAAUUUUAAUGACUAAGGUUUAUGUUUUUGAACUAUUUUAAAUCUCACAUAUCUUCUAAAAAUAUAUACUAAAAAUUUUUAUUAUCCAAAUAUUUGAAAUUAAAAAUUACAAUUUUAAAUUUCUAAUUAUUAUUCAAAAAUUAUAACAACGUAAAGAUAAAAUAUAUUUUUAUAUAAUUUAAUUAUCCGCAAAAUUACGGAUAAACACCUAGUAUUCAUAAUAUGCAUAAGCCAUAAGUAUUCUAGAACAUCUUAUUUUAAAAAACCUAGGAAAUAUAAGGUAAAUAA